AUCGCCUACAAUACAUGUGGUAGGGAUGACUGGUCAUAGUCUUUUCGACCCCUACUCCAAUCAUCAUAUUUGGAAAAGUUAACAAAUGACCUUCAUGCAAUCCUAUCGAACUAUGCUACUGUUGGGAGUAGCUAGCCAUCGCCAGAUAAGGUAGGCAUGACCGCUCAAUCCUAGAAAAUCUGGUUGAAGAUCUCAAAAUAGCAUAUCUAAUAGAGUCCAAACUACCUCCG
rnacentral:lncRNA from 1 species